rfam:Trichobilharzia regenti genome assembly, scaffold: TRE_scaffold0014054
ACCCAGUCUGAGAGUCCCAAAUAGGACGAAAUGCGCAUCCUGGAU